GGGGGAUAUUGCACAAUGGGGGAAACCCUGAUGCAGCGACGCCGCGUGGAGGAAGAAGGUUUUCGGAUUGUAAACUCCUGUCAUUAGGGACGAUAAUGACGGUACCUAACAAGAAAGCACCGGCUAACUACGUGCCAGCAGCCGCGGUAAAACGUAGGGUGCAAGCGUUGUCCGGAAUUACUGGGUGUAAAGGGAGCGCAGGCGGACCGGCAAGUUGGAAGUGAAAACUAUGGGCUCAACCCAUAAAUUGCUUUCAAAACUGCUGGCCUUGAGUAGUGCAGAGGUAGGUGGAAUUCCCGGUGUAGCGGUGGAAUGCGUAGAUAUCGGGAGGAACACCAGUGGCGAAGGCGACCUACUGGGCACCAACUGACGCUGAGGCUCGAAAGCAUGGGUAGCAAACAGGAUUAGAUACCCUGGUAGUCCAUGCCGUAAACGAUGAUUACUAGGUGUUGGAGGAUUGACCCCUUCAGUGCCGCAGUUAACACAAUAAGUAAUCCACCUGGGGAGUACGACCGCAAGGUUGAAACUCAAAGGAAUUGACGGGGGCCCGCACAAGCAGUGGAGUAUGUGGUUUAAUUCGAAGCAACGCGAAGAACCUUACCAGGUCUUGACAUCCGAUGCAUAGUGCAGAGAUGCAUGAAGUCCUUCGGGACAUCGAGACAGGUGGUGCAUGGUUGUCGUCAGCUCGUGUCGUGAGAUGUUGGGUUAAGUCCCGCAACGAGCGCAACCCUUAUUGCCAGUUACUACGUAAGAGGACUCUGGCGAGACUGCCGUUGACAAAACGGAGGAAGGUGGGGAUGACGUCAAAUCAUCAUGCCCUUUAUGACCUGGGCUACACACGUACUACAAUGGCGUUUAACAAAGAGAAGCAAGACCGCGAGGUGGAGCAAAACUCAAAAACAACGUCUCAGUUCAGAUUGCAGGCUGCAACUCGCCUGCAUGAAGUCGGAAUUGCUAGUAAUCGCGGAUCAGCAUGCCGCGGUGAAUACGUUCCCG
rnacentral:rRNA from 1 species